AUUUCUUUUGCAACUUGAUCAAUGGGCUUGGGUAUGCAAGAUCGUGAUAUUUCAAUAUCACUUGGAACAGGCAUCUUUAGGGUAAGUUGGUUGUAUUGGAUGUUCCAUUUUCCAGGCUGGAAUUUCUCCAGAAAACGCUGUGCGCUCUCCACUGUACUCUGCAUUAACAUGGCCACAGUCAUUGGUCCAACACCACCAGGAACUGGGGUAAUGUAAGAAGCUUUCUCUUUUGCUGUUGCAUAUGCCACAUCUCCUACAACUCUUUUUCCACUGGCCUUUGUGCUAUCUGGCACAUGGUUAAUUCCACAGUCUAUUACAAUUGCACCAGGUUUGAUCCAUUCACCUU
rnacentral:lncRNA from 1 species